UACAGAGGUCCCGAGCGUUGUUCGGAUUCACUGGGCGUAAAGGGUGCGUAGGUGGUGAGGUAAGUCGGAUGUGAAAUCUCCGAGCUCAACUCGGAAAUGGCAUUGGAAACUACCUUGCUUGAGGGUUGGAGGGGGGACUGGAAUACUUGGUGUAGCAGUGAAAUGCGUAGAUAUCAAGUGGAACACCAGUGGCGAAGGCGAGUCCCUGGACAACUCCUGACACUGAGGCACGAAAGCUAGGGGGAGCAAACAG
rnacentral:rRNA from 1 species